GGCUGCCGUGAUGCAAAACUAGAUUCCUGACAUCACAAGGUCGUUUUCUGGGCUAUCAUAGGAAGUGAAAAAAAGGACUACUCCACUGCUGAAGUGCUAAUCAAACUUGGAUACAUUUGGAUUUGCAUGAGGGAAAAGCUGACAAGGCUGACUGAGCACAUCUGCUUAGCUAUUUCUUGCAGUUCCUGAGAAAUGACUCAAUAUUCACCAAAGGCCGAAAUGCUGGAAUUGGAGAGUCAAUAUGGCGGCAAAAACUUCAGCUUCUGUAAUCAAGUUGAACAGAGUGGAUGCUCAUGCUUCUCAAAGUAACAUUCAGGUUGACAGCACCAGCUUCUUAUAACUGAUGAAUUGCAGCAUUACCACUUAGCAGCACCUGAGCAACAUCCUGUCUAUGAAAAGCAAAGGCAACCAAGGAAUUUGACUUUAGCUAUAUGGAGCCUUUUCCAAAGUAUGUUACAUUACCAGCAAGGCAUUCUUAAGCCUUAUUGUGCAAACUUUACACGUCUCUUCAAACUAACUUUUGAUAAGCAUGCACAUUCUGAGUGUACAGAGCUUUCAGAACUGAGGGUCAAAUCCAACUCUUGAUGCAGAAAGAGUGGCAGAGAUGCUGCUGCUGUAGUCUUCUC
rnacentral:lncRNA from 1 species